GGUCUAUAUUUUUUUAAACCCGUGGUGUUGGCCGCCUCGCUCCAUGUAGUAUCUGUUCUUUUUUGGUACGCACUCGUGUUAUGGCUUUAAAGUCGAAUAAAACUCCAAAGAACAUAACCAAACAAAGGAAUCAGUCUGUGAGUGUGUAUGCACGUGAUUUCAAGGAUGGUCUUUUUCCUUAUCUUUUGUGUUUGUGGGGGUUUUCUGUUUGCCUUCUAUGAGGAAUCUUUGAAACAGUUUCUGAGGCACUGAAUUGUGUCCAUGUGUGUGUUUUUGUCCCCAGACAGCCAUGUUUCUAUUUUUUUUAAUUGUUAUUUCUUGUUUUGGUUUUAUGUAAAUCCAUGUUUAGAUCCCUAUUGCCUAUCUGGGUGAUAGUGUCGGUGGACACCCGUGAGCAUACUGUAAUGGACUGAUGUUCUCCUCACAACCACAUUCUGUGUCAUUCUCUGGUCAGAGGCACCCAGGUUCUGCUCUGUUCUCAUCUGUUCUCCCGUGUCCACAGCGCAGUGUUCUCACGGGAAAGAAGUUGGCUGUCCAUGGGUAGAUCGCAUCAGUAUCGUCUACCAGGGGUAGACAAUGCCUGUGUCCCUGAUUAGACUGUGUGGCGUUCCGUCAAGGUGCAUUCCUUCUAUUUCCAGUUUCUGAUUGCUCAUGCUAAUGCAAAAAGGAGGGUUGUUGUAACAUUGACGUGUGUGACUGACGUAACGGGGAUUUUUCCUUAGGAUAUUUUGUUGGUGUUUUUCUGUUUGGUUCUUAUGACCGGUUGUCCAUCAGGGGUUCCUAUUUGAUAGGUAGCUUGGCUACAGUUUCCAUAACAAUACUGCGGCGCCAAAGACAAUCAUCUUGAUCUCUAAUGCUGGGGGGCUCAAUCUAUCACCCAGCGGGGUAGCUCUCCAGCUAUUCAUAUACAAAGAUGCUUGAAAGGGUUUUGAUAAACAAGCAUAUUUGUUGUCAUAGACAUUUAGGAUAUAGGUGACAUUCGUAGUACGUUCUGAACUUUCCAAAUAAAAAUCAUAUUGCUUUUUUUCAGCCCAAGAGCUAUUGUCAGACUUGAUUUCCUUCCUCAGCCUCUUAUUUCGCGAAGCUUGUUUGAUUUCAUUCGUCAUUACUGUCUGUGUGAGCGCAUAUGUUUGUGUGUGUCUAAGGGUGUGUGUGUGUGUGGGAGUUUUUUUGUGCAAUUUGUGAGUGUGUGCGUGUGUGUAUGAGAGUAGUUUGUUGUGUGUGUGUGUGUGUGUGUGUGUGUGUGUGUGUGUGUGUGUGUGUGUGUGUGUGUGUGUGUGUGUAUGAGAGUAAGUUUGUGUGUUUGUGUGUCUCUGUGUGAGUGCGCAUGUGUUAUUGUGUGUAUGAUUGUGUGUGAGCGCAAUUAUUUUGGCCAGUUCGGCAAUGCUUUAGGUAUAUUGACGUUUUAACCCCAUUCCACAUCGGUUGAUCCGUUCCGUUUAUUCCCAGUAGCUUUGCGUCUGCUCUUUCAGUGCCGUGCAAUAUCAUAUGUUUUGACUGCUAAGCAAAUGAAAAAAAGGAAAAAAAAAAUUGAGAAGCGAAGUGAUGAUGUCAUCAAGCUUUUUUCAGUGUUCAAAUGUUUCAACAUUUCUGUAGUCACCAAAGAAGUAGAAAAUAAAUUGUUGGUAUUUCCAUCUCUUAAAUCUGGUGUCUUGUCAUGCAAUUUAUUGUUAUAGGAGUUUUUCCACCCUUCUAUUGAAAGGUUCAUACUUCUCAGAUAUCAUUUAAAUAAUGAUUUAAAUUGCAGUAAGGUAUAGUAAGAUAUACCAACCGAAAAUAGGACGAUCACUUCAAUCUAUGUUUUCUUGCCGAAAGAUACUUUUGCUGCAAAUAAAGGCUAAUAGUCAAAUGUAAGCAUUAUUGUCAAACUGAACAUUUUAUGCAGACGGUUGAUGUGUUUACCGUAGGAAUGUCAAAUUAUAAAAUAUAGCGAGAGAGCCAACGUACUUAAGAUUGAACCUUACUUAACCCUAACCCUAACCCUUACUUAUUUUUUUAUAUAGGCCUAUAGAUAUCUAGAUAUAUAUAGGAUAUAUAUAUAAACACACACAUGAACAUUUCUGACCAAACACUUCGAAUAUGAAUCAAAAAAACGAUUUUCCUCAAGGGUUUCAGACUAUUUACCCCUACAUCACUUUCUGCGUUACCGGUCCAGACCACUAGAUGGAGCUAUAAUACUACCGAGACCAGACAAAAGAAUCGCUGGAUGACUAUCAUUUCAUCACAGACCCAGAUGGGAUUUCCCAUGGAUGGGCUUAGUUUUAGUGUAAACAAUGUUACAUCAUAGGUGGGUCAUGACCUAUGGCCGUUAAAGCUUUAAGGUUUACAAUAGCCAAUACCUUGCGUUGCUUUGCACUCAAUAUGAUUAAGUAAACCUCUACGACUAAGUUUUGUGCAGUUGAUGUCCAAAGUGAACAUAUUUCCAGAUAAUACACUUAUUGUUAGGGCCUGACAUGGAGCAAACGAAGCGACCAGGCUGAAGAUUUUGAAAUUGCUUUGACACAAUACCAACCACCACAUCAGCUGUGGAGCAGAUUUGCGCAUCGCAUUCUGGCGGCCGCAUCAGUCUCCUCUUUGUUACCAGUCAGAACAAAAUGUUCACGGGGAAAAAGCAUCUCACGUGCCGCCCACGAGAACGUGCAUGGGAUCGGCUGUCCAAUCAGAGCAGAGAGUCAACCCUCUUUCGCGCGCUCCACCUCUCUCUCCCUCUCUUGCACGCUCCCUCCCUCCCUCUCUCCCACUCUCGCGCGCUCCCUCUCUCUCGCGCGCACCCUGACCGUUGAGGCGCGCUCGCCACGGUCCAUCAUUAUUAUUACUAAUAACAUGGCACUCUGAGUCGUAUGCUAAACCAGAUCUCCCGCAGAAUCCAGACGGCGCUCACCCCAUGUGAGACGUUCAAAUAAGAAGUAGAAGAAGAAGAAAGUUUGAACGCUCCUUUUCUAACUUCGCGGUUGCCAUGGCAGCAGGUUCACGUGAGGCUGGGGAGGGAAGUGACGAGCUGUUGUUGGGACACGUGACCCGGGCUGCGCUGCCGCUGAUCUGUUGUGACAAGCAGCGAGGAGGAGGUGAGGAGAGGAUCCAGGUCGCAUCGAGCCGAGCAGGACGCUAGCUUAUGGUCUGGUCCCUCGGACGGCUCUGGUUCGUUAGAUCGUCUCACCCGACGGGUCACCGGGAGGACGGCGUCUCUGUCCCCGCGCCGCGAGACAUCUGCUCCCCCUGCACCGCGACGACACGUCGUAUUGUUUUGUUUGUUUUCAAAGUUGGACUGGAAGAAGACCGAUAAUUGUUUCAUUUGACCUGAACUGACCGUUUCGAGUGAGAUAUAACCCCCAGACGAUGUGACAGUUUGGCGACACUUUGGUCCCGUCCUGCCCGAAGAAUAAUUCACCAAAACGGUUCUUCCUAACUACGACCGCGUUGGUCGUGGUGGUCGAGACGGUCGUGGUGAACCGAGCCGAGACCCCCCUGCGCUACGGCUUGUCAGGGGUUGUUAGUCCGGUGUCGUGGUGGUACUCACAGGUACACACCACCCGUAUGGCCAGCGUGUCGUCAGCUCGUCCGCACAGCUGGUAGGGCUGGUCGUGGUCCGAUAGGCUCCGGUACAGUGGUACGGUUCGGUGCCACGGGACCCGAAAUGUGUGGCGACGGAGCGGGGGUCCUGGUGGAGGAUUCAGAGACUGAUCGUAAGGGUAGCCUGAUGGCUAGCUGAGAAGAAGCAGUCCGCUCAGUCGAUCUCCUCGUCCAAGGCCAGAUACAAAUAGAAAUACACGAUCAGUUCAGCAGCCGAUUAGACGACAGUGACUCGUACAGGAACGGGCUGACAAAGCGAUGCUUUGUUGUCGGACAGGAGACAACUGUCAGCGACGUACAGGCUCCACAGCUGACUGUGUUGGGUGGGCUCCUGCAUCAGGUGAAGCCACUGCGAGGACCAGGGCUCAGGGCAGGGGCCAUAAGCGCAUAGGCUGUGUGUGAACAGGACCUGUGGACAGAGGGACAACUUGAAGACCGAGAGGACUCUUGGGAGGUCUUCACGAUGACACUGGACAACAUGAAAACAGAGAGAGUAACAGGGCCAAGCAAUAAGCACCCGAAGAACAGUGAACCCACAGUGAAGAACACGCACCAUCUAAAUCACACGGCUGCAUGGAUUUGCAUACCCAUAGACCCGAGCUGCACCUGCACACCCCUCAACCACCACCCCCCC
ensembl:lncRNA